AAAACAUAGCUAUAAGAAUUGAAUACACAUAUUAAAAUUUUAUAGUGGGAUCUGGUCAGUGAAAAUUAAUUUUUUUAAACACACGCCUUAGCGUGAGGGUGAUAAUGUAGCAUAAUAAAUUGACAUUUAAUUGAUGUCUGGUAUGAAUGAUGAAACGAUUUUAAUUUUGUCUUUUUUUUAAAAAUAUUAAAUUUUAAAUAAUAGUUAAGAUGCUAUUUUCAACUUGUUAGACGAAAAGACCCUAUAAACCUUUACUUUUUAAAUUAUAUAUUAAUUAAUUAUUUUUAAUAAGACAUAUUUUUUAUUUAAAGUUUAGCUGGGGCGGCUUUCUUCUAAUAUAUAAAAAAAAAACGAAGAAAUUUUUUAAAACCUAUUUAAAAUUUUAUUUUUUAGUGAGAUGUUUAUAAUAUAUUAUUAUACAGUGUUAAAAACGAAUUACAAGACCACUCUUAUAUUAUCAAUUAAGAUUAUUAAUAAAUAAAAGGUACUUUAGGGAUAACAGCGUUAUUUUUUGAUAGAGAUCAUAUUAAUCUAAAAGUUUGCGACCUCGAUGUUGAAUUAAGAUAUCCAGAAGGGGUAAAAAUUUUCAAAGGUUGGAUUGUUCAUCCAUUAAAAUCUUACAUG
rnacentral:rRNA from 1 species